rnacentral:lncRNA from 1 species
GGAUGCCAACUAUGAUUUUGACUAUUUAUGAGACAUGGGAGAACACUAUGGCCUACAUGUAUAUAAAUCGUAAAAUUAAGUACGUAAAAUUUCUCCUCGACGGUAUGCUACCUUGUGCACCAAAACCCGAUAACACUUCAGGAUUACGAGUCUCCAUUCUCCACUUUGUUCAAACUUCAGAUGUAUCAUCAGCAUGCAAUCUAUUACUUAGAUAUACCAAAGAUAAUUCCAAAGCGGCUGCUUCUCCUCAAACAUUAAUGAAUCUAGAAUAGCAGGCAUGCAAUCUAUUACUUAGAUAUACCAAAGAUAAUUCCAAAGUGGCUGCUUCUCCUCAAACAUUAAUGAAUCUAGAAUAGCAGGGCGUAUCCAGACAGGUUUUACAUUUGGACGGGUUCUCGUUUCAGAAGGAACUCCUUGCCAUCCGUAUGUGGAAGUGUUGAAGGAAACCCAAAGUCUGCCAAGUAACAAAAAACAGAAUAGGAUAAUACUGACAUAACAUGUUAAGAAACAGAAGCUCAAAAAUAGCAGGUCAGUAACAAGACGAUUUUAUCAAAGAUGAGUAUGAAAUCACUUACCAAGCAAUCCUAUCGUCGAGUUUUAGAAACAUAUCCAUUUCCUGCAAUAGAGGUUACUAAUCG